ACGAACGCUGGCGGCAUGCCUAACACAUGCAAGUCGCACGAGACCUUCGGGUCUAGUGGCGCACGGGUGCGUAACGCGUGGGAACCUGCCCUUAGGUUCGGAAUAACUCCCCGAAAGGGGUGCUAAUACCGGAUAAUGUCUUCGGACCAAAGAUUUAUCGCCUUUGGAUGGGCCCGCGUUGGAUUAGCUAGUUGGUAGGGUAAAAGCCUACUAAGGCGACGAUCCAUAGCUGGUCUGAGAGGAUGAUCAGCCACACUGGGACUGAGACACGGCCCAGACUCCUACGGGAGGCAGCAGUGGGGAAUAUUGGACAAUGGGCGAAAGCCUGAUCCAGCAAUGCCGCGUGAGUGAUGAAGGCCUUAGGGUUGUAAAGCUCUUUUACCCGGGAUGAUAAUGACAGUACCGGGAGAAUAAGCUCCGGCUAACUCCGUG
rnacentral:rRNA from 1 species